rnacentral:rRNA from 1 species
AAACGUAGGAGGCAAGCGUUAUCCGGAUUUAUUGGGCGUAAAGCGCGUGCAGGCGGUUUGGUAAGUUGGAUGUGAAAGCUCCUGGCUUAACUGGGAGAGGUCGUUCAAAACUACCAGACUAGAGAAUGGGAGAGGGAAGUGGAAUUCCGGGUGUAGUGGUGAAAUGCGUAGAUAUCCGGAGGAACACCAGUGGCGAAAGCGGCUUCCUGGACCAUUUCUGACGCUAAGACGCGAAAGCUAGGGGAGC